rnacentral:rRNA from 1 species
AGUGAACGCUGGCGGUAGGCCUAACACAUGCAAGUCGAACGGCAGCACAGUAAGAGCUUGCUCUUACGGGUGGCGAGUGGCGGACGGGUGAGGAAUACAUCGGAAUCUACUUUUUCGUGGGGGAUAGCGUAGGGAAACUUACGCUAAUACCGCAUACGACCUACGGGUGAAAGCAGGGGAUCUUCGGACCUUGCGCGAUUGAAUGAGCCGAUGUCGGAUUAGCUAGUUGGCGGGGUAAAGGCCCACCAAGGCGACGAUCCGUAGCUGGUCUGAGAGGAUGAUCAGCCACACUGGAACUGAGACACGGUCCAGACUCCUACGGGAGGCAGCAGUGGGGAAUAUUGGACAAUGGGCGCAAGCCUGAUCCAGCCAUACCGCGUGGGUGAAGAAGGCCUUCGGGUUGUAAAGCCCUUUUGUUGGGAAACAAAAGCAGCAGGUUAAUACCCCGCUGUUCUGACGGUACCCAAAGAAUAAGCACCGGCUAACUUCGUG